AGAGUUUGAUCCUGGCUCAGGAUGAACGCUAGCGAUAGGCUUAACACAUGCAAGUCGAGGGGCAGCAUGGUCUUAGCUUGCUAAGACUGAUGGCGACCGGCGCACGGGUGCGUAACGCGUAUGCAACUUGCCUCACAGAGGGGGAUAACCCGUCGAAAGACGGACUAAUACCGCGUACACUUGGGUUGGGGCAUCCCGAUUCAAGGAAAAGAAAUUCGCUGUGAGAUAGGCAUGCGUCCCAUUAGCUAGUUGGUGAGGUAACGGCUCACCAAGGCAACGAUGGGUAGGGGAACUGAGAGGUUGAACCCCCACACUGGUACUGAGACACGGACCAGACUCCUACGGGAGGCAGCAGUGAGGAAUAUUGGUCAAUGGGCGAGAGCCUGAACCAGCCAAGUAGCGUGCAGGACGACGGCCCUAUGGGUUGUAAACUGCUUUUAUAGGGGAAUAAAGUGGACUACGUGUAGUUUAUUGUAUGUACCCUAUGAAUAAGGACCGGCUAAUUCCGUGCCAGCAGCCGCGGUAAUACGGAAGGUUCGGGCGUUAUCCGGAUUUAUUGGGUUUAAAGGGAGCGUAGGCCGUAGAUUAAGCGUGUUGUGAAAUGUAGAUGCUCAACAUCUGACUUGCAGCGCGAACUGGUUUACUAGAGUGUGCACAACGUAGGCGGAAUUCGUCGUGUAGCGGUGAAAUGCUUAGAUAUGACGAAGAACUCCGAUUGCGAAGGCAGCUUACGGGAGCACAACUGACGCUGAAGCUCGAAGGUGCGGGUAUCAAACAGGAUUAGAUACCCUGGUAGUCCGCACAGUAAACGCUGGAUGCCCGCUGUUGGCUCAUUAGAGUCAGCGGCCAAGCGAAAGCAUUAAGCAUCCCACCUGGGGAGUACGCCGGCAACGGUGAAACUCAAAGGAAU
rnacentral:rRNA from 1 species